rnacentral:rRNA from 1 species
UACGUAGGGGGCAAGCGUUAUCCGGAUUUAUUGGGCGUAAAGAGCGUGUAGGCGGCUUUACAGGUCCGUUGUGAAAACUCGAGGCUCAACCUCGAGACGCCGGUGGAAACCGUAAAGCUAGAGUCCGGAAGAGGAGAGUGGAAUUCCUGGUGUAGCGGUGAAAUGCGCAGAUAUCAGGAAGAACACCAAUGGCGAAGGCAGCUCUCUGGGACGGUACUGACGCUGAGACGCGAAAGCGUGGGGAGCGAACAGG